UAAGAGAACUACGCACCUAAAACCCUGAAUGUUAUACAACAUCUAAAUAUAGUAUUUAUUACGGACUUCGUUGAUAAAGAUUCAAGUUUUUAAAGAUCCUAUAAGAUCAUCGGAACGCCACCACCUGACCUCCAUAGUAUCACGUGCAAUACUAUACGAUAGCACGUACGGCUGGAACCACGCCAGAGAUCACGUGGGACUCCGAAGCUUGCGGACAACACAGCCUUUAGUCUGAAAUCUACUGGACAUCUCAGAGCCAUAUUAGCCGACCACAGAACGUUCGGGGAGGUAAGAGGCAGUGCAUCAGGGGGACGCCCCAGAUGCCAG